rnacentral:rRNA from 1 species
UACGUAGGGGGCAAGCGUUGUCCGGAUUUAUUGGGCGUAAAGAGCGUGUAGGCGGCUUUACAGGUCCGUUGUGAAAACUCGAGGCUCAACCUCGAGACGCCGGUGGAAACCGUAAAGCUAGAGUCCGGAAGAGGAGAGUGGAAUUCCUGGUGUAGCGGUGAAAUGCGCAGAGUAUCAGGAGGAACACCCGUGGCGAAAGCGGCUCUCUGGGACGGUACUGACGCUGAGACGCGAAAGCGUGGGGAGCAAACAGG